GAACCGGCGAGUUACGAUCUGAUGCAAGGUUAAGCAGAAAAUGUGGAGCCGUAGCGAAAGCGAGUCUGAAUAGGGCGAAUGAGUAUUUGGUCGUAGACCCGAAACCAGGUGAUCUACCCUUGGUCAGGUUGAAGUUCAGGUAACACUGAAUGGAGGACCGAACCGACUUACGUUGAAAAGUGAGCGGAUGAACUGAGGGUAGCGGAGAAAUUCCAAUCGAACUUGGAGAUAGCUGGUUCUCUCCGAAAUAGCUUUAGGGCUAGCCUCAAGUGAUGAUUAUUGGAGGUAGAGCACUGUUUGGACGAGGGGCCCCUCUCGGGUUACCGAAUUCAGACAAACUCCGAAUGCCAAAUAAUUUAACUUGGGAGUCAGAAUGUGGGUGAUAAGGUCCAUAUUCGAAAGGGAAACAGCCCAGACCACCAGCUAAGGUCCCAAAAUAUAUGUUAAGUGGAAAAGGAUGUGGCGUUGCCCAGACAACUAGGAUGUUGGCUUAGAAGCAGCCAUCAUUUAAAGAGUGCGUAAUAGCUCACUAGUCGAGUGACACUGCGCCGAAAAUGUACCGGGGCUAAACAUAU
rnacentral:rRNA from 1 species